CAGUCGCCACGGUAAUACGUAGGGUGCGAGCGUUGUCCGGAAUUAUUGGGCGUAAAGAGCUUGUAGGCGGUCUGUCGCGUCUGCUGUGAAAACCCGAGGCUCAACCUCGGGCCAGCAGUGGGUACGGGCAGACUAGAGUGCGGUAGGGGAGAACGGAACUCCUGGUGUAGCGGUGGAAUGCGCAGAUAUCAGGAAGAACACCGAUGGCGAAGGCAGUUCUCUGGGCCGUAACUGACGCUGAGAAGCGAAAGCGUGGGGAGCGAACAGGAUUAGAGACCCCUGUAGUCCCUGUCUCUUAUAA
rnacentral:rRNA from 1 species